rnacentral:rRNA from 2 species
UGCAAGUCGAGCGGAUCUUCAUUAGCUUGCUUUUGAAGAUCAGCGGCGGACGGGUGAGUAACACGUGGGCAACCUGCCUGUAAGACUGGGAUAACUUCGGGAAACCGGAGCUAAUACCGGAUAAUCCUUUCCCUCUCAUGAGGGAAAGCUGAAAGACGGUUUCGGCUGUCACUUACAGAUGGGCCCGCGGCGCAUUAGCUAGUUGGUGAGGUAACGGCUCACCAAGGCGACGAUGCGUAGCCGACCUGAGAGGGUGAUCGGCCACACUGGGACUGAGACACGGCCCAGACUCCUACGGGAGGCAGCAGUAGGGAAUCUUCCGCAAUGGACGAAAGUCUGACGGAGCAACGCCGCGUGAGCGAUGAAGGCUUUCGGGUCGUAAAGCUCUGUUGUCAGGGAAGAACAAGUACCGGAGUAACUGCCGGUACCUUGACGGUACCUGACCAGAAAGCCACGGCUAACUACGUGCCAGCAGCCGCGGUAAUACGUAGGUGGCAAGCGUUGUCCGGAAUUAUUGGGCGUAAAGCGCGCGCAGGCGGUUCCUUAAGUCUGAUGUGAAAGCCCCCGGCUCAACCGGGGAGGGUCAUUGGAAACUGGGGAACUUGAGUGCAGAAGAGGAGAGCGGAAUUCCACGUGUAGCGGUGAAAUGCGUAGAGAUGUGGAGGAACACCAGUGGCGAAGGCGGCUCUCUGGUCUGUAACUGACGCUGAGGCGCGAAAGCGUGGGGAGCGAACAGGAUUAGAUACCCUGGUAGUCCACGCCGUAAACGAUGAGUGCUAAGUGUUAGAGGGUUUCCGCCCUUUAGUGCUGCAGCAAACGCAUUAAGCACUCCGCCUGGGGAGUACGGGCCGCAAGGCUGAAACUCA